UACAGAGGUCUCAAGCGUUUGUUCGGAUUCAUUGGGGCGUAAAGGGUGCGUAGGCGGCGCGGUAAGUCGGGUGUGAAAUCUCCGGAGCUUAACUCCGAAACUGCAUUCGAUACUGCCGUGCUUGAGGACUGGAGAGGAGACUGGAAUUUACGGUGUAGCGGUGAAAUGCGUAGAUAUCGUAAGGAAGACCAGUGGCGAAGGCGGGUCUCUGGACAGUUCCUGACGCUGAGGCACGAAGGUCAGGGGAGCAAACGGGG
rnacentral:rRNA from 1 species